UGGCCCGUGGUCGGAUGAGAGCCGAUUGGGUGAGAACCCUAGCCUCCAUCCCCUCCCUUCUCCCCUUCACGCCACCUCCCGCUUCCUCUCCCGUCGCUGCUGCUCCCCCUCGCGCCGCCCCCAGCCUCCUCACCUGGACACGGCGAUCAUGAGCACCAGCGAGAGGAGGAAGGAUGGCGCCUGGGCACGGGCCACAGAACCGAACCCAGCCCUCCCUCUCUCUCUCCCGCAGGCUCUCGCCGCCACCACCUACGCCGGCCGGUCCCGGCCUACUCCGGCGGCUGCCGGCAACGCGCAGCACUCUCCCGUGGCCGCCUCCCUCGGCUCCGUCCUCCCCGUCCGCGAGCUCGUCCCCGGGGACGUCGUACAGUGAGUGGGCGAGAGCAGGUGAAGUGAAGGCUCGAAGCAGGCAAGCAGCCGUGACUCGAUGGGGUGUGAGGCGGAGGCGGAGGAGCACGUCUCCGGUCUCCCCGAUUCUGUUUCGGUGGUGGCGUGAGGGGGCCCGCCGACUGGCCGAGCGGGGCAGCGGGCGACGGCGACGACCAAGGGAGAAGGGGGACGGCGCUGCGGCGGCGUGCUGGGCCUGAGCAAGCAACAGAUGCGAGAUGCAGGCUGGGGCCAGGAGAGCAGACUAGAGACGAGGGUUGGCGAGACCGGAACACCCGGCACACCUUUUUGCUAGGCCAAUGCCGCUCAAGCUCUGUUGAGACAUGGAACCGAAGCCGUGAGGCGGACAUCAUCAUUUUGUCAGACUAAGUGUGGAGUUACAAGUAUCAUUUUUUCACAAAGGAAGAAAUUCGGAGUAAUUACGGCCUUGGCGCUCUUCAUGUUGUGAGAGAACCUGUUCAGUAGGAUGCCGACAUGCAUCAGGAAGCCAAUGGACAGCCAGAGCUUGAGCUGCAGUGACGACGACAACUUGGGUGUCAGCUGCAAAAAACUGCAGUUCAAAGUGUUCAACCAAGUGUUUUCCGUCCACUGCAUGGCUGGCUACGAGUGGCUGGCCGACGGGGUGCUCGGUGAGGUCGAAGCCGCUGCGUACUGGACUGCCGUCGCGCCAAACGUCGAGGAGUAUGGCAGCGCCGUGGCCAGGUCCAACGCUUCCGGCGCCGAGAACGUGGCCAAGGGGAUCAUGUGGUGCGGGGUGAUGACCGUGGACAGGCUCCGCUGGCGGAACGAGGUGCUCCGAAAGAGGAUUCAAACCGGCGAUAAUGAGGCCGAGGUCUGCCCGGAGAUGCUCAGGUGUAUCAAAAGGUUUCCUUGUGCUUAAUUACACGCUGCAGCGGCGACCAAGAAGCGCGUGGCCCAGCUGACCAAGAAGGCCAGGAACGUGGCCGCCGGCGACAAGGAGCCCGGGUUUAAGUAUCUUUGCUGGCUGUCGAUGGUGGUCUGUCUCUCUAUCUCUCUCUGUAUGUAGUUCCAGUAGUUCCAUGGUACUUUUUUCUGCUAAUUUCUAAUUCCUUGUGGCUAUAUACAAGAUUAUGACUUUUUUUUGGGGUGAUGAACCUAUAGUAAUCAGUGACCUGUACUAACUGAAGAUGAACGAGAGAACAAAAUAAGAAAGGGGUGGCUAUUGAAUUGUCAUGAUAGAUCAAAAUCAUGAUCAGUUAGUUAGUUGUUCCUCCAAUAGCAUUGCAUCUAAAUGAAUCUUAAUAUAGCUCACCACAGCUCGCUCCUCCUCCCCGUUUCUUCUUCAAUUGUGCCAAACUUGAGGCUGUAGCUACUAUUCAGAUAGUUAAACUUAGAUUUUUGUGGUCGACGUCCUGCUUGGCGAUGAUGGAAACAGAGGUGGCACGACUCUAUGAUAUGGAUAUGAGUACAAUAGUGUUUGACAGUGGCACAUGCGACGGUGCUCGCGGGUGCCAUGCCUCUAGGCGGGUUGUCUGCACGAUGUUGCAGUGGUCAGUGGCGCUGCACCUACAUCAUGUAUGGAUCAAUAAAACUAGGCAUGAGUGCCAGCGGGUUGUAAAUACCAUAAUUCAGUUGCACAUAUGUCUUUGGUUGUAUCAACACAUCGCAUUUUACUUAGUGAUUUGUCGUGAGUGCUCUUGUGUGAGAUUAGCAUGUCUUUCAUAUCUGCCUUUAAUGUAUGCUUUUGUUUUACCAGUUGCCAGUCACAAGGCUUGAUUAUUACCCUGAACGCUUUAAUAUCUUCUGUUGUUUAAGGUCUGAUCUUGCUUAUUUUGCUAAUACCAUAUGAUGCCAAUGGAUUGAACCUUUCUGUCAUUAUUAUUUAGAUUGUAUUAUCCUAUGCUUUUGUUGGAUAAUUCAAUGGUGGUGCUGCAUAUUUCAUUUCUUGGACGGUUGUGUCUUCCCUGUGGUAUCUUUCUGCAACUGAAUUCAUGGUGCUGCUGGAUGUGUGUAGAUUAUGGCAGCUCGUUUUCAGAUGUUUUCGGAAGCCUCACACAUGUUCUCGAGUCAGUACCUUCAAACAGUUCAUCAUCGCCUUCAAAACUGGGACAACUUUGAGAAAUAGAUCAAUGUUGUUGAUGCUUAUAUUGAUUUUACUUAAUCCAAAAUAUGUUUCACAACAUUGUUGAAGCUUUGGCUCCUUUUUACAGCUGACAUUUACUGCUCUGCAUUUGCUUGGAUUUGUGCUCUCCCUUCAUCCCAUGUUGUGUCUAGGUUACCAAGUUUGUGUCUGCUUCUAUGAUUAGUUGCUCAUGCUUCAUGGUCUUUGUGGGAAACACAACAUGAUGCCUUGCUGGUUCCUGAGUCCCAUGUUUGUUCAUAUCCUUAAUUAUAAUAAUUGUUGAUCUGUAAGGCUAUGUCUGUUGGUGCCACUAUCUAAAUAAAUCAAUUAUCUUGCUGGUGUCAUGUGCUGAAUUUACACAAUCAUGUAAUCCAGGGUUCCAAACUAUUGCUAAUGGUUCGUAAUUUUCUAUUUUGUUGCAGUUGACUCGCUGUAUAAUUUUAUGAUAUAAUUUCUUCUUCUCUUUUAUCGAUGGAGGAGGUAGUCAGAAGUUGUUAUUUUGAAACGCCUCCACUUCUUCUGCAAAAGAUUGGUGAAUUUUCCAAAGGGAUGGAAGAAGUCGAUCACAGGAUCUACUCACCUGAGUUUAUUUAUUUAUAUGUGUCUAUAUGGUUUUCCAUGAAAAUCCAAAAGGGCCUCGAAGUGUUGGAGCUUGGAUCUGGGGGGUGCAUUGGUGUUUACGCUAAAACAAGUCGGUUGCUGCAAGUCUUGCAAGAAAUUUGGGUGACAAGGCGUCUGGGCGGAACUAUCUAUCCAUCUAUCUAUCUAUCUAAUAUAGUUUACUACUAUACCAUGUAAAAUCAGUGUCUCCACUACCACUAUGGCUUGGUGUGGUCAUGCUAUGAUGUUAGUGGACACGAAUGUUUAGUGAUAUGUUGAUUCAGGAAAUUCGCAUUCGGUUCAGCAUGUAGUGUUAGGCUCUAUGCUCUUAGGAGAUGAUGUUCUGUGAAUUUUUUUGCAACUGUUAUUGCCACAAAAUUGAAAUUUGGUAUUGACAUUAUGAAGAUUACCUUAAGUGUGAAAGAUACUGAGCAUGGACCUGUGUUCUUAUUUAUAGCUCUAACUGCAUGUAC